rnacentral:rRNA from 1 species
AUGGAGGCGUCGGCGUACAAGUUCGGGCCCUACAGGAUCGACGCGAGGGAGGUCUUCCACGCCACGCCCCUCUCCUACGCCAUGGUCAACCUACGCCCCCUCCUCCCUGGUGUCACUGCAAAGGAAGUUGGUGUACGGCUUGAGCAGUACCACAAAGCUUCUUCACUUACAUUUGCGAUUCAGGAUGGCCCUCAAGCUGGCCAAACAGUUCCGCACGUCCACAUCCAUGUCAUCCCCAGGAAGAAGGGAGAUUUUGAAAAUAAUGAUGAAAUAUAUGACGCGAUUGAUGUGAAAGAAAAAGAAUUGAAGGAAAAGCUCGAUCUGGAUGUUGAAAGAAAAGAUAGAACCAUGGAAGAAAUGAGUCAUGAGGCUAACGAGUACCGUGCUCUUUUCUCCUAG